GGCACCACGUAAAGACCUCAUCUCCUUUAAUCCUCGGAGCCACCUUCAAAAAUUAAGUGGGAUUUCUUUUUUUUCCCUCUCACAUGACCCACAGGGAGAAUGAGAUUCAGGAGGUCAAGAAGCUCAUCCAGGUCAGAAAACGAGCAGGAGCUGAUGUGGAUGCAACCAUGCUUCCCAUCUGGAGUGAGGUGAUGACUACCAAGUGUUGAAAAGCUGGUUGGCAGCCCCAGAACACGUGGCCCAGUGAUCCAUCCUGGAGACAGUGCAUCCCAGCAGCAAGUGGCUCUACCAAGCUCCUUUCCCCGGGAACCACACUCAGUAUCUAGGCAUCAAGUCGCCAUAGCUUUGAACUAUGUUUGUGGGCAUCUGUGUUUUACCUCAUUUUAUUCUGUGUCUCUUGCCAAGAUGUCUCCUGAGGUCAUUGCUUCUUUGCUUUAUGCCCAUUUAGGCUUACAAAAGGUUUCUUAGAAACACUCUACUUUUGGAUAGCAGGGGGAUGGGGGAAACCUGUGUAUGUAAACUGGAAUAAAGUACAUGCUCAAUAAAGGUAGC
ensembl:lncRNA